rnacentral:rRNA from 1 species
UACGAAGGGGGCUAGCGUUGCUCGGAAUCACUGGGCGUAAAGCGCACGUAGGCGGCUUCUCAAAUCAGGGGUGAAAUCCUGGAGCUCAACUCCAGAACUGCCUUUGAUACUGAGGGGCUCGAGUCCGGGAGAGGUGAGUGGAACUGCGAGUGUAGAGGUGAAAUUCGUAGAUAUUCGCAAGAACACCAGUGGCGAAGGCGGCUCACUGGCCCGGUACUGACGCUGAGGUGCGAAAGCGUGGGGAGCAAACAGG